rnacentral:rRNA from 1 species
AGUCAUAUGCUUGUCUCAAAGAUUAAGCCAUGCAUGUCUGAGUAUAAGCUUUCAAACGGCGAGACUGCGAAUGGCUCAUUAAAACAGUUAUAGUUUGUUUGAUGGUCGUUGUCCUACAUGGAUAACCGUAGUAAUUCUAGAGCUAAUACAUGCGUAAAGACCCGACUUCACGGAAGGGUUGUGUUUAUUAGAUACAGAACCAACCUAGGCCUCGCCUAGAGUUUUUGGUGAUUCAUAAUAACUGAGCGAAUCGUAUAGCUUUGGCUGACGAUAUAUCAUUCAAGUUUCUGACCUAUCAGCUCUCGACGGUAGGGUAUUGGCCUACCGUGGCUUUGACAGGUAACGGAGAAUUAGGGUUCGAUUCCGGAGAGGGAGCCUGAGAGACGGCUACCACAUCUAAGGAAGACAGCAGGCGCGCAAAUUACCCAAUCCUGACACAGGGAGGUAGUGACAAGAAAUAACAAUACGAGGCAUCACUGUCUUGUAAUUGGAAUGAGUAAGAUUUAAAUCCCUUUACGAUUAACAAUUGGAGGGCAAUCUGGUGCCAGCAGCCGCGGUAAUUCCAGCUCCAAUAACGUAUAUUAAAGUUGCUGCGGUUAAAAAGCUCGUAGUUGGAUUUCAGCUGUGGAAGACCGACAUUUGCCUUCACUGGUAUUUGUCUGGUAUUUCCAGAGCAUAUCUCGGUAUACAUAUUGGCGCUUGAUUGCGCUAUAUGGAUUCCGGGGCAUUUACUUUGAGGAAAUUAGAGUGUUUCAAGCAGGCAUCUGCCUUGAAUACGUUAGCAUGGAAUAAUAAGAUAGGACUUUGGUUCUAUUUUGUUGGUUUCUGGAACUGAAGUAAUGAUGAAUAGGGACAGUCGGGGGCAUUCGUACUUAACUGUCAGAGGUGGAAUUCUUGGAUUUGUUAAAGACGAACUACUGCGAAAGCAUUUGCCAAGGAUGUUUUCAUUGGUCAAGAACGAAAGUUAGGGGAUCGAAGACGAUUAGAUACCGUCGUAGUCUUAACCAUAAACCAUGCCGACUAGAGAUUGGAGGUUGUUAAAUUGACUCCUUCAGCAUCUCGUGAGAAAUCAAAGUCUUUGGGGUUCCGGGGGGAGUAUGGUCGCAAGGCUGAAACUUAAAGGAAUUGACGGAAGGGCACCACCAGGAGUGGAGCCUGCGGCUUAAUUUGACUCAACACGGGAAAUCUCACCAGGUCCAGACAUAGUAGGGAUUGACAGAUUGACAGCUCUUUCUGAUUCUAUGGGUGGUGGUGCAUGGCCGUCUUAGUUGGUGGAGUGAUCUGUUCUGGGUUAAUCCGUUAACGAACGAGACCCUUAACCUGCUAAAUAGCUUCUUCAAAACAUCUGUUUUGCGGUUUAGCUUCUUAGAGGGACUUUGUGUGUUUUCAACACAAGGAAGUUUGAGGCAAUAACAGGUCUGUGAUGCCCUUAGAUGUCCUGGGCUGCACACGCGCUACACUGACAUGUUCAACGAGUAUUUCCUUGCCCGGAAGGGUUGGGUAAUCUUUUGAAAGCAUGUCGUGAUGGGGAUAGAUUAUUGCAAUUAUUAAUCUUCAACGAGGAAUUCCUAGUAAGUGCAAGUCAUCAGCUUGCGCUGAUUACGUCCCUGCCCUUUGUACACACCGCCCGUCGCUCCUACCGAUUGAGUGAUCCGGUGAAUAAUUCGGACCGCGACAACUGAGCCCACAAAGCUUAAGUUGUAGUGGGAAGUUUAGUGAACCUUAUCACUUAGAGGAA